rnacentral:misc_RNA from 1 species
GAUGAAGAACGUAGCAAAAUGUGAUAAGUAAUGUGAAUUGCAGAAUUCAGUGAAUCAUCGAAUCUUUGAACGCACAUUGCGCCCGCUGGUAUUCCGGCGGGCAUGCCUGUUCGAGCGUCAUUUCAACCCUCAAGCCCCCGGGUUUGGUGUUGGGGAUCGGCUCUGCCCUUCUGGGCGGUGCCGCCCCCGAAAUACAUUGGCGGUCUCGCUGCAGCCUCCAUUGCGUAGUAGCUAACACAUCGCAACUGGAACGCGGCGCGGCCAUGCCGUAAAACCCAAACUUCUGAAUGUUGACCUCGGAUCAGGUAGGAAUACCCGCUGAACUUAAGCAUAUCAAUAAGCGGAGGA